AUUGAACGCUGGCGGCAUGCCUUACACAUGCAAGUCGAACGGCAGCACGGGAGCAAUCCUGGUGGCGAGUGGCGAACGGGUGAGUAAUACAUCGGAACGUGCCCAGUUGUGGGGGAUAGCCCGGCGAAAGCCGGAUUAAUACCGCAUACGACCUACGGGUGAAAGCGGGGGAUCGCAAUACCUCGCGCAAUUGGAGCGGC
rnacentral:rRNA from 1 species